rnacentral:rRNA from 1 species
AUACGUAUGGGGCGAGCGUUAUCCGGAAUUAUUGGGCGUAAAGAGUACGUAGGUGGUUUUUUAAGCGGGAGGUUUAAGGCUACGGCUUAACCGUAGUUCGCCUCUCGAACUGGAAGACUUGAGUGCAGGAGAGGAAAGCGGAAUUCCUAGUGUAGCGGUGAAAUGCGUAGAUAUUAGGAGGACCACCUGUGGCGAAGGCGGCUAACUGGAACGAACCUGACGGUGAGGGACGAAAGCUAGGGGCGCGAACCGGAUUAGAUACCCGGGUAGUCCUAGCCGUAAACGAUGCGGACUUGGUGUUGGGAUGGCUUUGAGCCGCUUCGGUGCCGAAGGGAAGCUGUUAAGUCCGCCGCCUGGGAAGUACGGUCGCAAGACUGAAACUUAAAGGAAUUGACGGGG